rnacentral:rRNA from 1 species
GACGAACGCUGGCGGCGUGCCUAAUACAUGCAAGUAGAACGCUGAAGGAGGAGCUUGCUUCUCUGGAUGAGUUGCGAACGGGUGAGUAACGCGUAGGUAACCUGCCUGGUAGCGGGGGAUAACUAUUGGAAACGAUAGCUAAUACCGCAUAAUAGUAGAUGUUGCAUGACAUUUGCUUAAAAGGUGCAAUUGCAUCACUACCAGAUGGACCUGCGUUGUAUUAGCUAGUUGGUGGGGUAACGGCUCACCAAGGCGACGAUACAUAGCCGACCUGAGAGGGUAAUCGGCCACACUGGGACUGAGACACGGCCCAGACUCCUACGGGAGGCAGCAGUAGGGAAUCUUCGGCAAUGGACGGAAGUCUGACCGAGCAACGCCGCGUGAGUGAAGAAGGUUUUCGGAUCGUAAAGCUCUGUUGUAAGAGAAGAACGAGUGUGAGAGUGGAAAGUUCACACUGUGACGGUAUCUUACCAGAAAGGGACGGCUAACUACGUG